rnacentral:rRNA from 1 species
UACGGAGGAUGCGAGCGUUAUCCGGAUUUAUUGGGUUUAAAGGGUGCGUAGGCGGCCGAGUAAGUCAGCGGUGAAAUUUUGCAGCUUAACUGUAACAGUGCCGUUGAUACUGCAUGGCUAGGAUUUGGUUGCUGUGGGUGGAAUGUGUGGUGUAGCGGUGAAAUGCUUAGAUAUCACACAGAAUAUCGAUUGCGAAGGCAGCUCACAAAGCCAAGAUUGACGCUGAGGCACGAAAGUGUGGGGAGUCAAACA